UACGUAGGGUGCGAGCGUUAAUCGGAAUUACUGGGCGUAAAGCGUGCGCAGGCGGUUCGUUGUGUCGGCGGUGAAAGCCCCGGGCUUAACCUGGGAACGGCCGUUGAGACUGGCGAACUGGAGUGUGGCAGAGGGGGGUGGAAUUCCGCGUGUAGCAGUGAAAUGCGUAGAGAUGCGGAGGAACACCGAUGGCGAAGGCAGCCCCCUGGGCUAACACUGACGCUCAGGCACGAAAGCGUGGGGAGCAAACAGG
rnacentral:rRNA from 1 species